GAUCAUGGCUCAGGACGAACGCUGGCGGCGUGCCUAAUACAUGCAAGUAGAACGCUGAAGGAGGAGCUUGCUUCUCUGGAUGAGUUGCGAACGGGUGAGUAACGCGUAGGUAACCUGCCUGGUAGCGGGGGAUAACUAUUGGAAACGAUAGCUAAUACCGCAUAAGAGUAGAUGUUGCAUGACAUUUGCUUAAAAGGGGCAAUUGCAUCACUACCAGAUGGACCUGCGUUG
rnacentral:rRNA from 1 species